rnacentral:rRNA from 1 species
CCCUUAGAUGUUCUGGGCUGCACACGUGCUACACUGGCAGGUUCAGCGAGCUUCAUGCCCUGAUCUGAUAGGAAUGGGAAAUCUUUUCAAAACCUGCCGUGCUUGGGAUAGAUGUUUGCAAUUAUUCAUCUUCAACGAGGAUUGCCUUGUAAGCGCACGUCAUCAGCGUGCAUUGAAUACGACCCUGUAUUCUGUACACACCGCCCGUCGCUCCUACCGAUUGAAGUUUUCGGUGAGUUGACAGGAGGAUUUUUUUGAAACUGGUUCGCCAGUGGAUUUUAGAUCCAAAUGCCAACGAAUCGAUGGCUUUAGAGGAAGGAGAAGUCGUAACA